rnacentral:rRNA from 1 species
UUUUUGUUUUUUUAUUAAAAAUGUUUUCUGCUCAGUGUUUAUUAAACAGCCGCGGUAAUUUGACCGUGCAAAGGUAGCAUAAUCACUUGUUCUGUAAUUUAGGGCUUGUAUGAAUGGAUUUAUCGAGAAUUUUUCUGUCUUUAAAUUUUUUAUAGAAAUUGUAUUUUAUGUGAAGAUACAUAAAUUUUUAAAUAGGACAAGAAGACCCUUUGAGCUUUAUUAUUUUUGUUUUUUUAAAAUGACGUUAAUUUGGUUGGGGUGACCGGGAAAGAUUUUGAUCUUUCUUUUAUUUUAUUGUGAACCAACAGUGUUGGAAUACAGAACAAGUUACCGAAGGGAUAACAGCGUAAUUUUUUUUGAGAGUUCUUAUUAAAAGAGGAGAUUGCGACCUCGAUGUUGACUUAUAGUAUCUUUUUGGUGUAGUAGCUGAAUUA